rnacentral:rRNA from 1 species
UACCAGCCCCCUGAGUGGUAAGGACGAUUAUUUGGCUUAAAGCGUCCGUAGCCGGCUUAGUGAGUCUCUUGUUAAAUCCAAUGAUUCAAUCAUUGAACUGCAAGAGAUACUACUAUGCUAGAGGACGGGAGAGGUCGACGGUAGUCCAAGGGUAGGGGUGAAAUCCUAUAAUCCUUGGAGGACCACCAGUGGCGAAGGCGGUCGACUAGAACGUGCCUGACGGUGAGGGACGAAAGCUGGGGGAGCGAACCGGAUUAGAUACCCGGGUAGUCCCAGCUGUAAACGAUGCGGGCUAGGUGUAGGGGCAGCUACGAGCUGCUCCUGUGCCGCAGAGAAAUUGUUAAGCCCGCCGCCUGGGGAUACGAUCGCAAGAUUGAAACUUAAAGGAAUUGGCGGGGAGCACCACAAGGGGUGAAGGCUGCGGUUU